GACGAACGCUGGCGGCGUGCUUAACACAUGCAAGUCGAGCGGUAAGGCCCUUUCGGGGGUACACGAGCGGCGAACGGGUGAGUAACACGUGGGUGACCUGCCCUCAGCUCUGGGAUAAGCCUGGGAAACCGGGUCUAAUACCGGGAUAUGACUCCAUGACGCAUGUUGUGGGGUGGAAAGCCUUGUGCGGCUGAGGAUGGGCCCGCGGCCUAUCAGCUUGUUGGUGGGGUGAUGGCCUACCAAGGCGACGACGGGUAGCCGGCCUGAGAGGGCGACCGGCCACACUGGGACUGAGACACGGCCCAGACUCCUACGGGAGGCAGCAGGUGGGGAAUCUUGCGCAAUGGGCGAAAGCCUGACGCAGCGACGCCGCGUGAGGGAUGACGGCCUGGUU
rnacentral:rRNA from 1 species